ACCAGCCAACCAACCAACCAGCUAACCAGCCAAACAACCAGCUAACCAGCCAAACAACCAGCUAACCAGCCAAACAACCAGCUAACCAGCCAGCCUGCUAACCAGCCAGCUAAACAAAACGUGGUUUGAGUCCAUUUCAAAAUAGAAGAUGCUGAACAUCAGCAACCGAGCAUUGGAUAGACUCUACUCUGCUCUCCUCCUGGCCGUGGUGGUACUGUCGUGGACCUACGUCAUCUAUGGGAGUAGAAUAGCAGCACAGAGACAGUUGGAGAAGAGACUCAACAUCAAACUACACAACUAAAGCACCAGCGGCUAGUUCAACUCCAAUACACUAAAGUCUGGAGUUAUGAAUACCGUGGACUUUCCCAAGACAAAGUCAAGGCCCCUGGUCUUUCUGACUCAUUUAUACUCCACCAUGAUGAAUGCUUUGGUACCAUGUUAGUUUGUCUUAGAUGUGAGUCAUAUUUUUCAUAUUGUGCAAAAUUAUUUUUAUUAAUAAAAAUGGAAAAAAACUAAGAGUUA